rnacentral:rRNA from 1 species
GAUGAACGCUGGCGGCGUGCCUAAUACAUGCAAGUCGAGCGAACAGACGAGGAGCUUGCUCCUCUGACGUUAGCGGCGGACGGGUGAGUAACACGUGGAUAACCUACCUAUAAGACUGGGAUAACUUCGGGAAACCGGAGCUAAUACCGGAUAAUAUAUUGAACCGCAUGGUUCAAUAGUGAAAGACGGUUUUGCUGUCACUUAUAGAUGGAUCCGCGCCGCAUUAGCUAGUUGGUAAGGUAACGGCUUACCAAGGCAACGAUGCGUAGCCGACCUGAGAGGGUGAUCGGCCACACUGGAACUGAGACACGAUCCAGACUCCUACGGGAGGCAGCAGUAGGGAAUCUUCCGCAAAGGGCGAAAGCCUGACGGAGCAACGCCGCGUGAGUGAUGAAGGUCUUCGGAUCGUAAAACUCUGUUAUUAGGGAAGAACAAAUGUGUAAGUAACUAUGCACGUCUUGACGGUACCUAAUCAGAAAGCCACGGCUAACUACGUG